UACGUAGGGUGCAAGCGUUGUCCGGAAUUAUUGGGCGUAAAGAGCUCGUAGGCGGUUUUGUCGCGUCUGCUGUGAAAACUCGGGGCUUAACUCCGGGCCUGCAGUGGGUACGGGCAGACUAGAGUGCGGUAGGGGGAGACUGGAAUUCCUGGUGUAGCGGUGAAAUGCGCAGAUAUCAGGAGGAACACCGGUGGCGAAGGCGGGUCUCUGGGCCGUAACUGACGCUGAGGAGCGAAAAGCGUGGGGGAGCGAACAGG
rnacentral:rRNA from 1 species